UUUUAUCUGGGUUGCUAACUCAAUGGUAGAGUACUCGGCCGGGUUCGAGUCCCGGGCAACCCAUAUGGAAAAUAGAAAAGAGU
rnacentral:tRNA from 1 species